rnacentral:rRNA from 1 species
ACACGUAGGGGGCGAGCGUUGUCCGGAAUUACUGGGCGUAAAGGGCGUGUAGGCGGUUUAUUAAGUCAGACGUGAAAACCCUGGGCUUAACCUGGGGACUGCGUUUGAAACUGGUAGGCUUGAGGGCAGGAGAGGAAAGUGGAAUUCCCGGUGUAGCGGUGAUAUGCGUAGAUACCGGGAGGAACACCAGUGGCGAAGGCGGCUUUCUGGACUGCACCUGACGCUGAGGCGCGAAAGCCAGGGGAGCGAACGGGAUUAGAUACCCCGGUAGUCCCGGCCGUAAACGAUGGGUACUAGGUGUGGGAGGUAUCGACUCCUUCCGUGCCGGAGUUAACACAAUAAGUACCCCGCCUGGGGAGUACGGCCGCAAGGCUGAA